CUCCAUACAACAAACAGCCGGCCCCAAGCACCAGACUCCCAGCAGGGUACGAGGUCAACAACGUGACCGCAGUUUAGGAGCUCACCCUGGCAGCCAGAAGAGCAGAUGAGAGGCACUGAGGCCAGGCGAGCGACGAAGGUGGCCGAGGUGGUAGCCAAGGGAAUGGAUGGAACACAUGGAUCUGAGAGACUCGAGAAGUAGAAAGGACUAUACCUGCUGGUCGCCGGGCUGUGGGGAAACAGGGGCUCUGAGAGGCUGAGGGUUUCUUGUGAAGGACGCAGGGCCCACCGUGGCUGUGGAGGACACACAGGGGUCCCGGGGGAACAUGGCACAGGCAAGGGGCAAGCUUCCUCCCCUCAGCUCCGCAGUACCCCUCAAGGCUCACGGAAAUGGGCCAAAUGAGUCUGGGACUUAGUCCCCCAGGUGCGGCUGUAGCAUGGACAGAGCAUGUGUUCUGUGGUCGGACCCGGGCCAACUCCUGGCCAGCAGUAGCUGUGCAGCUAGAGGCCAUGCACUUAACCUCUCUAACAUGAAUUUCUUCGCACGUGACCUUCAUUGACUUUAUGUGAGAAUUUCCCCCAGGCAAUCAGACCCUGUCCAAAUCUUGGCUAGAACGCACUGAACUACCGUUUACUGAGCAGUUACUGCAUACAGUCCUGGACAGUGCCUGGUACACAGCCAAGGGCCACAGGGGAGAGUGCGGGGGUGGAGUGGCACACGAGCAUUUAAGGGAGGUUGCUUUCCUCCAAAGCAGGCCUCAGCUGACACUCAGCCCUGGGCAGUUCCUCCUGCACACAGGUUCUUAGCACAGCCCAAGGCUCAGAGCACCCAGGCCACAAGUCUCUCUUCUCAGACACCAGGCAGACCCGGGCUAGGAUGGGCAGUCCAGUGCACCGAGUGUCAAUGGGGGACACCUGGAGCAGGCAAGUGCACCCUGACAUAGAGAGCGAGCGGCACAUGCAGUCCUUCUGCGUGGAGGAGCUCACCAACAUCCUUGACGGAGGGGCCCAGAACACUGCGCUCCGGAGGGAAGUCGAAAGCAUCAUCCACAGUGACCCAGAGCUUAGCCUGAAGGAUAAUUAUUUCAUGACCCAGAAUGAACGUUAUGAAGCCGCCAUUAAGAAGAAAUUCCACGUCCAGAUGUUAGCACAGCGCCUGGGCUGGUCUGAAGACAGUCGUGAAUUAUAUUACGCUAACAGAAGCCUUUCUGGAGAUCUGGGCUUAGCGUUACAAUUCGUCUUCCAGAAAGCGCUCAGGAGCCUCGGCUCAGAGGAGCAGAUUGCCAAGUGGGACCCACUCUGCAACAAGUUACAGAUCCUUGCGACAUACGCCCAGACAGAACUGGGGCACGGGACAUAUCUUCAGGGCCUGGAGACUGAAGCCACCUACGAUGCAGCCACCCAGGAGUUUGUGGUGCACAGCCCCACGCUGACUGCCAUCAAAUGGUGGCCUGGGGACCUGGGACGGUCGGCCACCCAUGCCCUGGUCCAGGCCCAGCUGAUCUGCUCAGGAGCCCAGCAGGGCAUGCAUGCCUUUAUUGUGCCCAUCCGGAGUCUUGAGGACCACAGUCCACUGCCCGGAAUCACCGUUGGAGACAUUGGGCCCAAGAUGGACUUUGACCACUCGGAUAAUGGCUUCCUGCAACUGGACCAUGUGCGCAUCCCCAGGGAGAACAUGCUGAGCCGCUUUGCACAGGUCUUGCCAGAUGGUACCUACAUCAAGCUCGGAACAGCAAAGAGCAACUACCUCAGCAUGGUGGUGGUGCGGGUGGACAUGCUGUCAAACGAGGUCAUACCACUGCUGCAGAAGGCCUGUGUCAUUGCCAUCCGCUACUCCGUCAUACGCCACCAAUCCCGGCUCCGGCCCAGUGACCCAGAGGCAAAAGUCCUGGACUACCAGACGCAGCAGCAGAAACUCUUUCCUCCGCUGGCCAAGGCCUAUGCAUUCCACUUCGUGGCAAAGAGCCUCUUGGAAUUCUUCCAUCGCUCCUACAGUUCCAUUUUGGACAGAGACUUCAGACUCCUGCCUGAGCUUCACGCACUGAGUGCAGGUAUGAAGGCCUUGGUGUCGGACUUCUGCGUCCAGGGGGCUGAGCUGUGCCGCAGGGCCUGUGGUGGACAUGGCUACUCGAAGCUGAGCGGCCUGCCCUCCCUGGUCACCAGAGUGACAGCCUCCUGCACCUACGAGGGUGAGAACACGGUGCUCUACCUGCAGACAGCCAGGUUUCUGGUGAAGAGCUACCUGCAGGCUCAGGAGUCCACAUCACAGAGGUCUCUCCCUCAGUCUGUUGCAUACCUGACUGCACCUGACCUGGCCAAGUGCCCAGCCCAAAAUGUAGCCGACUUCCUCCACCCAGAGCUUUACACCACGGCCUGGGCACACGUGGCAGCCAGGCUCAUAAAGGACUCAGUGCAUCACUUACAGACUCUCAUGCAAUCUGGGGCUGACAGGCACGAGGCAUGGAACCAGACCACUGUCAUACAUCUCCAGGCCGCCAAGGCACACCUCUACUAUGUCACUGUGAAGAUUUUUACAGAAGCUCUGGAGAAACUGGAAAAUCAACCAGCAAUUCAGCAGGUGCUCAAACGCCUCUGUGAUCUCUAUGCUUUACACGGCAUCAUGACUAACACGGGCGACUUUCUCCAUGAUGGCUUCCUAUCCGGCGUCCAAAUAGAUGUGGCGAGAAAAGCCUACCUGGACCUUCUCCUCCUCAUCCGAAAGGAUGCUGUCUUGUUAACUGAUGCUUUUGACUUCACCGAUCAGUGUUUAAAUUCAGCACUUGGUUGUUAUGACGGAAAUGUCUAUGAACGUCUGUUCCAGUGGGCUCAGAGGUCACCAACCAAUACUCAGACAGUUUCUCCGAAAUGAACUGCAAAAGACUGUUCCUGUUCCCCACGUGCACUCCUAUCUAAGUGAUUCCCUAUAGAUGCAAGCAGUGAAAGAACCACUGGGGAUAAUUUCAAAGGGAACCCUGCCUAUGAGAAAUAUAUAAGACCACUAUUACAAGGCUGGAGAUCCAGGCUAUGAAAUAAUCAACAGCAUUCAGGAGGCACCACCACGUGGUAAUGGUACUAUGGCAUGUGCAUCAUUAAAAUCUACAACUACAUAUGUAUGUAUUUUUUAAAAAGGAUCAUUAUCUUCCAGAGACACAGACUGAAGCAGAUGAAAUAUCUGUGAUUUAUUUCAAAAUAAUCCAUGGGAAGAAAAAGGGGGAGUGAAUCAUUGUUGAAGCUAUUCAAUGGGUACGUGGGUGUUUACAUUAUUCUACUUCCGAAUAUGUUUGAAAUUUCCCACAAUAAAAAAACAGCAGCACUAUCCA